rnacentral:rRNA from 1 species
GGUUUCCUACGGGGGGCAGCAGUGGGGAAUAUUGCACAAUGGGGGAAACCCUGAUGCAGCAACGCCGCGUGAAGGAAGACGGUUUUCGGAUUGUAAACUUCUGUUCUUAGUGAAGAAUAAUGACGGUAGCUAAGGAGCAAGCCACGGCUAACUACGUGCCAGCAGCCGCGGUAAUACGUAGGUGGCAAGCGUUGUCCGGAAUUACUGGGUGUAAAGGGAGCGCAGGCGGGAAGCCAAGUCAGCUGGGAAAACUACGGGCUUAAAUUGUAGAGUGGAGUUGAAACUGGUUUUCUUGGGUGAAGUAG